rnacentral:lncRNA from 1 species
UGAAGACAACAAGAUUACCAAAAUGAAGCAAAAUGAAGAAUAUCUUGAAGACACAAAAGAUCAAGGUUCGAGAACAAUAAUUGUUAUAAGUCUUCUUAGGUACUUCUUUCAUUAAACUCUUACAUAUUAAGUAACAAUGCUCAUAAGUGGAAAAACAAUUGAAAAAGUCUUGGUCAAAAAAUUAAAUUUUCAAAAUACUAAUUGACAGGUUACUUGACCUGAGCAUGUUACUGGAACUAAGUAACGGGGUUACUGGAACUAAGUAACGGGGUUACUGGGCCUUACCACCGCAAGCGGAGAGACAGUCAGACAGGCAGAGUCUAAGAGAAGGGUACAAGAGAAGGUUUGCCAAAAGUUUUAUGAGACAUCCCCAAAAUUUUAAAAUAUCCUUGCUAACUUCCAAUACAGAUAAGAAAAUAUGUACCGAGGGCUCUCAAACAGUAUACAAACACUCUAAUUGAAGUAAAAAAUCAACGACUUAUAUAACAAGAUGUCAUGAGAUAGGGUGAUCCAUUCAUUCCCAACAAAAACAGAUCGAGCAUCUGCCUCCUCCUUGUUUCCUUGAGAAGCAGCAGCAGGAUCUACAAAGGUGAUUCAAUCAAGUUUAAAAGUGAAUCAUAAUAACAUAAAAUAACCAUAAGCAUCUUUCAGUUUAAAUAGUAGUAAAGUGAUUUCGUAAAUGAGUACACUCUACAAAUAAUAACACACUUCAACAUCAUGUUUUUCCAAAACUCCAACAUCAUGUCUAUAUUGAUAUUUUUUUUACUUUUGCAUUGCAGGUUCCAUCAAUAUAGUCUAAAGUAAGCAACUAAUUUUUUGUAUUGGAAAUUGGAAUGAGGUUUCAGGCUCAUGAUGCACUUUAUCAUUUUCUUAUUCCAUUAUUUCUAUGAGACCAUUAGAUAAAAUUAUUGUGUUAUCCAUCAUAGUGGAUAUGCAUGGACUAGUAUGCUGACUUGACAACUCUAAGGUAUUUUAUAGAGAUGAUAAAACGGGAUGCACAAUCUGUUUUGUCCAUGCCCACAAAAUUUAAGUGAGUGUAGACAUGUUCUUAAAUUUUUAAUGGACAAAAUUACAUGUCUCGUCUAUUUUAAAACAAGCAAACAUUUUACUAUUUACACUAAAAAAUAGACGUGUGAAAUGACAAUAAGCAAUUUGAUUUAUUUGCAAUAAAAAGAAAUUUGUUAUACUAAGCAUUUCAACAACAUCAUGUAAUCACUAAUCACAAAGUGAACAUGCAAUUAACACAGGGCAAGAAUGAAGAAAAAAAGAACAUGUUACAGAUACAACAUCAUAAUAUAAUCACUCACAAGUCACAACACUAUACACGAAUGAAAUAUAGAUUCCAAUAAUUUGUCACAAUAUGAAAAGGAAACCACAGAUUAAUGUGUAGAGAAUUAAAUUGGGGAAAAUUGAUUCAGGGAAAAAUUAAAUUGGGGAAAUUGAAUUAGGGAAAAUAGAAUUGGGGGGAAAUCAAACCUUGAUCUAGUUGUCGUGAUGGUUAUGACCGUUUUCUUCAUCAUAUAGGAGACCAUAGUCGCCAUCAUCGUGGUUAGUUGGCAGUUUGUCCUCGUUGCGACUGUGAGGUCUGGUUGUCAUGAUGGCCUGAUGAUGAAGGAGAAGAUGAAGGAAGAAGAAAUGGAAGAAUGGGUGAAGAACAAUGAGUAUCGGAGAAUGAGUAUUUGAACUUUAAAGGAAGAAUGGAAGAAUAAAUAGUGUGAGGUGCGUGAAUCUGGUGACUACCCAUGGAAGAAGAAACAAUGAGAAUGGAAGAAGAAACUGAGAAUGUGUGUGAUUGAC